rnacentral:lncRNA from 1 species
AAGCUCUCUGUGUCAGGUUAUAAUUCUCGGUAUUUAUGGGCACAGUGUACCACAAGAGACAUGAGCACACUGUAAAGCAAUGAAAGCGAGCACCUAGCAUGCCCAUCUCUUUGAGCCUGGGUCAUUUCUUUGCGUCUCUCUGACAUUUUAAAAAAUAAAUGUAUUGAAUCCUCGGUAUUUGAUAUUUUAGCACUCACACACAGGUGAGAGACAAAGCAGAUGUUCAGUGUCUCUGUUAUGCUGGGUAGCCUACUGUUUUAAGUCAGCGCUUAUUGAGUAUCCGGUAAGGAAAACUCAUUUUUAAAUGUUCCAUUCCCACUGCUGCCAAGAGGGUACCAACCAUGGACGAGGCAGAGAGAGCCCGAGAAGGCUGGAGACUGUCGCUGCUUAAGCUAUUUAACGAGGAAACCAAGCCUUGAUUUUACCCCUCACACUGCUUAGAUGUGAAAUGAUCCUUAAAUGAUCUUUAAAAACUGAGUGCAUUUACAUUCACUUUUUUGGGUUUGUUUUUGUUUUUUUACGACAGGGUUUCUUUGUGUGUCCCUGGAACUCACUCUGUAGAGCAAGAUGGCCAUGAACUCACAGAGAUCCACCUGCCUCUGCUUCCUGAGUGCUGGGAUUAAAGCCACCCAUACUUGCUGCGGAUUAUGACAACAGAGAAGUAUAAAAGGGAGACAGCUGCAGCCAGGAUGCUAAUGACAACGAUUUGUCGUAAAUUGGUGUUCAGAAUUCGAGGACAGCCCACUGGAGAGAUGCUAAAAUGCCAUGAGGCAGGAAAGAGACAGGAAAUGCCAAUCCUGAAAUUCCAAAGAAACAGAUUUUAAAGUAACACGCUUGGAUGAGACCUGUGCUCACCUGCCCAGUGUUCAGCGUGCUCUCCCCCGCUUGCUUCCUGGCUGCUGGUGGCUCUGCUGAGCACGCGCCGGGUUGCUGUUCGGUUAUGCAGUGCAUCACUAUUAAAUGACUUGAUGAGAAU